rnacentral:rRNA from 1 species
UACGUAGGGCGCAAGCGUUGUCCGGAAUUAUUGGGCGUAAAGAGCUCGUAGGCGGCCUGUUGCGUCCGCUGUGAAAUCCCGGGGCUCAACCCCGGGCCUGCAGUGGAUACGGGCUGGCUGGAGGCAGGCAGGGGAGAACGGAAUUCCUGGUGUAGCGGUGAAAUGCGCAGAUAUCAGGAGGAACACCGGUGGCGAAGGCGGUUCUCUGGGCAUUACCUGACGCUGAGGAGCGAAAGUGUGGGGAGCGAACAGG